UCUUUUACAUUUUGAACCGAGAACCCUACGUGGAUAAAAAUGUAAUUCAGCCUACCUUGAAAAUACUGCGUUCAAAGUGAGGGAAAUUGGUUUGAUAUAAAUAGGAGAGCAGCGACUGCUCGAUUGUCAUAUGUCAAUAUAUCGUUGCCACUGCACAGUUCAUCAUCUUUAACGUUUCGUUGAAUUUGUCUUCAGUCUUACAUUCUUUAAAGAUGGAUCGUCCAACAAACAACAGUCAAACUAAUCGCGGAAAUCAGUGUAAUCCUAUUCACACGCCAACGGGUCCGGGUCGUCAAAGUGCAUACCAAGGAUCCCAGCAGACGGCAAACAUCAACAACCAUAGUAACCAACUCAAUCCAAACAAUGCACGUUAUGUUCAAAAAAAAUGAACAUGUUACAUACUAUGGACUUGUAAACAUUUUAUAUUUUGAUCAAAAAUAAAUCAACAAUAAU